ACUGUAGGUGGAUCAUAACAUGUCUACAGCAUUAACACACUACUGUAGGUGGAUCAUAACAUGUCUACAGCAUUAACACACUACUGUAGGUGGAUCAUAACAUGUCUACAGCAUUAACAGUACUGUAGGUGGAUCAUAACAUGUCUACAGCAUUAACACAUUACUGUAGGUGGAUCAUAACAUGUCUACAGCAUUAACACAUUACUGUAGGUGGAUCAUAACAUGUCUACAGCAUUAACAGUACUGUAGGUGGAUCAUAACAUGUCUACAGCAUUAACACACUACUGUAGGUGGAUCAUAACAUGUCUACAGCAUUAACACAUUACUGUAGGUGGAUCAUAACAUGUCUACAGCAUUAACACAUUACUGUAGGUGGAUCAUAACAUGUCUACAGCAUUAACAGUACUGUAGGUGGAUCAUAACAUGUCUACAGCAUUAACACACUACUGUAGGUGGAUCAUAACAUGUCUACAGCAUUAACACAUUACUGUAGGUGGAUCAUAACAUGUCUACAGCAUUAACACAUUACUGUAGGUGGAUCAUAACAUGUCUACAGCAUUAACACACUACUGUAGGUGGAUCAUAACAUGUCUACAGCAUUAACACAUUACUGUAGGUGGAUCAUAACAUGUCUACAGCAUUAACACAUUACUGUAGGUGGAUCAUAACAUGUCUACAGCAUUAACACACUACUGUAGGUGGAUCAUAACAUGUCUACAGCAUUAACACACUACUGUAGGUGGAUCAUAACAUGUCUACAGCAUUAACACAUUACUGUAGGUGGAUCAUAACAUGUCUACAGCAUUAACACAUUACUGUAGGUGGAUCAUAACAUGUCUACAGCAUUAACAGUACUGUAGGUGGAUCAUAACAUGUCUACAGCAUUAACACAUUACUGUAGGUGGAUCAUAACAUGUCUACAGCAUUAACACACUACUGUAGGUGGAUCAUAACAUGUCUACAGCAUUAACACAUUACUGUAGGUGGAUCAUAACAUGUCUACAGCAUUAACACAUUACUGUAGGUGGAUCAUAACAUGUCUACAGCAUUAACACACUACUGUAGGUGGAUCAUAACAUGUCUACAGCAUUAACACAUUACUGUAGGUGGAUCAUAACAUGUCUACAGCAUUAACACAUUACUGUAGGUGGAUCAUAACAUGUCUACAGCAUUAACACACUACUGUAGGUGGAUCAUAACAUGUCUACAGCAUUAACACACUACUGUAGGUGGAUCAUAACAUGUCUACAGCAUUAACACACUACUGUAGGUGGAUCAUAACAUGUCUACAGCAUUAACACAGUACUGUAGGUGGAUCAUAACAUGUCUACAGCAUUAACACAUUACUGUAGGUGGAUCAUAACAUGUCUACAGCAUUAACACAUUACUGUAGGUGGAUCAUAACAUGUCUACAGCAUUAACACACUACUGUAGGUGGAUCAUAACAUGUCUACAGCAUUAACACAUUACUGUAGGUGGAUCAUAACAUGUCUACAGCAUUAACAGUACUGUAGGUGGAUCAUAACAUGUCUACAGCAUUAACACACUACUGUAGGUGGAUCAUAACAUGUCUACAGCAUUAACACAUUACUGUAGGUGGAUCAUAACAUGUCUACAGCAUUAACACAUUACUGUAGGUGGAUCAUAACAUGUCUACAGCAUUAACAGUACUGUAGGUGGAUCAUAACAUGUCUACAGCAUUAACACACUACUGUAGGUGGAUCAUAACAUGUCUACAGCAUUAACACAUUACUGUAGGUGGAUCAUAACAUGUCUACAGCAUUAACACAUUACUGUAGGUGGAUCAUAACAUGUCUACAGCAUUAACACACUACUGUAGGUGGAUCAUAACAUGUCUACAGCAUUAACACACUACUGUAGGUGGAUCAUAACAUGUCUACAGCAUUAACACACUACUGUAGGUGGAUCAUAACAUGUCUACAGCAUUAACACAUUACUGUAGGUGGAUCAUAACAUGUCUACAGCAUUAACACAGUACUGUAGGUGGAUCAUAACAUGUCUACAGCAUUAACACAUUACUGUAGGUGGAUCAUAACAUGUCUACAGCAUUAACACAUUACUGUAGGUGGAUCAUAACAUGUCUACACCAAAUGAGGGCACUGCUUUAGAAAACCAGAGAAUGACUUCAGACUGAAUCUUGGCAGACUAUGUAAUAAUAAAUAGUACAAUAUGUUUA